UGGUGGUCCCAUUUUGAUAAGCCGUAGAUUUUUACCACUAAGGUUCAUUGUAUUUUUGCCCUUUUUGAAGUUGUAGUUUUAGCAUUUUUAAUACGUUUCCGUUGGCAAGGUUUACGUGCACAUGCACUUGUUUUGGGGAUUGUCAGCCCACCAUCUGUUGAAGUGGUGGACUCUGGGAUUGCGUUUAACUUUCUCCCAUGAGUCAAGAAUUUUUGCAAUGCAAAAGCCUUUUCUUUCUCCGAUUUAAUCUACCAUAGAGCUUUUGUGCAU
rnacentral:lncRNA from 1 species